AACAUAUUUAUUUGAUUUUCGACAGGUUUAUUUAAUUUUGUCAUAUUUUAUGAAUUUGCCAUGCUUUUAAUUAUUUGUCACAUAGGUAUCAUGCCUAUAGGUUUAAUUUUAUAUAUAAAAAAAUUAUUUGUUUGGCAUGCUUUUCACUUAAUCAACCUUGAAUUAAUCAAGAGGCUUAUUCGAGACUGUUACAUGCUAAGUGUUAGUUCUUAUUAUUUUGUUUGAUGCCAACCUGAAUCGAAUUAGGCAGUUUAGCUUUCCUUUGUUUAGACACCACAUCAAAAUAGUGAGUUCAAUGCCUCUUGGACAUUAAGUUGGUACGGAUAGGCAUCUUAGGGAACAGUAGUUUUAUCAUUUUCUUUAGAACUUCUCUAGGCUAAACAAUCAAACUAGGUGGGGUGGGAAGAUAUUUGAAAUUGUGGGAAGAUAUUUGAAAUGAUGAAAAUUGACCUGAGCCAAAUUUGACAAUGCGGCAUACGAUAUUCUUAUUCAUUAAUAAGUUGGGCGUUGAUCCGAAUGAAACCAAAAUUAAUCUUUGGCCAACUUUUGAACUUAUUCUCCUUGUUUUGGUUUGGUUUUUUUAAUUAUUUGGGGUAGUUUAAGUUUCUAAUUCGCUAAAUCUUUUGCUAUAUAACUUGUGUAUUUUUCUAUCUUUUUGCUUGUCUGAUUCAUUCUGCUUUUAUUAUUGCCUAGAUAAUUACAAUUAGAAAUAAUUAAGUUAUAUGUCUUAACUCAUAUUAUUUUUCAUCACUUAGUUAUUAUUAAGUUAAUAAAAAUAAGUGACCUUUGUUGAUCACAUAAAAUUUUUCUGGGACUCACAUUGGUUGACCUCGAAAGGUGCCUUGAGGUAACUUGAACUCUUAUUCGAUUUUUGGUGACAUAAACUAAUUAAUUAGUUCGUGAUUAGCCUAAAUGGUGUCUUAAUACACCUUAAUUUGUUAGGUGGAGACUCCUCUUUCACACAUUUCAAAAAGAGUUGACAUAUCAAAUCUCGCCUUUUGCUAGAAAAUUAAAGCGCGACAAGUGGCAGUCUGCAUGAACUCCACAGAUGGUUGUUGAUUUUUCACAAACCUAACUCCAAUAAUAGGAAUGUCUAGACUCAUUCCUAGAAUUUCCUCAUCCAACUUUAUUUUUAUCCCCUGCACUAAUGCCGAUAGACUCAAUCCAUCUUCCACAAAUUUGAUUGCAUAAAAGAACUCCCUCGCCUCUUUUUCAAAUACUGAAGGAACUGGUUCCUUAAAGAGGUGCAUAUACCCCUGAUGUCAUACAUAAUCAACUCAACUAUUCCUAGUUAUUCAAAAUCCUUGGGUCAAACACCCUGUGUGACAACACUUUCUGAGAUUUCAGCAUCUUAUUUCUCUUUUCCCUAGACAAGACUUGCUCUUCCUUUUGCAGUUUUCUUUUCUUAGAUGCACUACCAGAUUCUUCUUCUACCAAACUUUCUUACAUAGUACUAGGUCCCUUAGAAAUUCUUCUCUUCACUACAAUAUGUCUAUUGGGGGAAGUGGUUUUUAGUUUUUCUUUAAAGGACCUGGUCCUCCUCCCUUCCUGAGCUUUCUUCCUUCAUUUGGUUGUUGUAGCAGCAACAUCAAUAUCAAUGUGACGUUCUCCUUCACUUACAUCCACAACAUCAAUAUUUUCCUCAUCUACUAAUGUUGCCUUUUUCAUCCUUCUCUUUUUAGUUGUUGCUGAUUUGUUGGCUUUCAUAGCAUCACUUGGUAACUUAUUUUCAACACUCCUAAUGGCACAUGUUUUGACGACCUUUGCAUUUUCCUCAAAUUUUUCUUUUUGUUCCUCUUUGCACUUGUCUUUGGCACUUCAAGGGCUCAUCAUCCUCCUCUCUUUCUUAUCUUUUAUUGGAGGUUGCACAGGCCCAUCUGUCUUUUGAGUAGUUGCAGGAGUUGCAUCAAAUGUAGGAAGAGGAGAUUUAGUAUAUGAGUGUCUCUCCAUUUUAACUUGACUUCCUCUUUGAUCACUAGCCAAAAGAGCCAGGAUCUCAGCCACCCUGUCUUCUCUUGCCAAAGCACUACUUGAAGGGUUUAAUUUUUCAACUGGAAGAUCUUUCUUAAAUAGUUGUGCAAAGAUUGGGUUUGACUCAGAGAGGGUCGAAUAACCUAGUUCUUUGAGGGUUGCAGAAAGAGUAACAACUACUGGUAUCUCAAAAGGAGUCACCAGUGAUUCUGACUCUAUAGGUGACCCAAAACCCUAACUAUGGUGCCCUUUAACAGUAGCUAUUUCUGGUUUGUCUCAGAAAUUAUUGAGCCCUCAUCUAUAGACGGUUCUAGCACAGCUAAGGGUACUAGAGGUGGGAUGAAUAAGGGAUUUUCUUUAGUGGGUACGGGUGAGUAAGGGAUUUCAGGUUCAUUUGAAUGGUUUGAAGAUGAAUCUUUAUGCAACAUUGCGAUUUUGAGAAAGAAGGUAAGAAAAAAGAAAAUUUUGAAAAGCUGAAGACUAUUGAAGGUAGAGUUAAUGAGAAAUUUUGGAUUUAAUGAGAAGAAAGAGGUUUAAUUUAUUUUUAAAGAGGUAAAAGAUUGUAUCAUUGGGACUUAAAUUGAAAAGAAAGUGUCUGGUCCCUAUUGGCACGCCCUUUUAGAUUUAAAUAAUGUGACAGUUAUUCAGCGACACGAGAAAGGACAUAUGGCUUUUCAGAAGAGUUACUUUUUGCAAUUUUUAAGAAAGACACGCAUGAUACUAACCUAUGGGAUAGGACCAGUUCCUUUCCUUUCUUUAAAGAAAUUUCUUUAUUUGAUGUUUGUCUCAUUAUCUCUCCUUCAAGUGCUUGCUCACCGUGUGUGUAUACCUGCAAAGGUAUGGUACUGAGUUAGAUUAACUGAAAAAAUUGAAACUAAAUUAUAUGCACCCUAAUCAUAGACAAAAACAUAAGGAAGUUGAUCCACUAAAGCAGUUUAAUUCAUCUUGGUUAUCCCCAAUCUUAGUCUAUUUUUCACAAAUUGCUCCCUGUGGAGAGCCUUUGUGAAGAUAUCAACCACUGAUCUUCAGUCUUCCAAAACUUUAUGCAGAUUGCUCCUUUUUCAACAUUGUCUCUAAGGAAGUGGUGUCUCACAUCAAUAUAUUUUGUCCUCUUGUGCUCCACAGGGUUCUUUGUCAUAUUUAGAGCACUUGUGUUAACACACAUCAAGGGAGUAGUAUCAGUAAUAAUUCCAAAAUCUUUUGGCUAGUGCUUUACUAUGUGUUUGUGUGGUACCACGUGUCUUGAGCCGGGGGUCUAUCGGAAACAGCCUUUCUACUUCUUCAGAGGUAGAGGUAUGGACUGCGUACAUCCUACCCCCCAGACCCCACCAGGUGGGAAUACACUGGGUUUGUUGUUGUUGUUUUGGCUAGUGCUUGAUCUAAAUUAAUUGAGCACAAUAUGAGGUAACUACUACAUAUUCAGCUUCAACAAUAGAGAGAACAACUGAUUUUUGUUUUUGGGGACCCUAUGAGAUUAGAGAUGAACCAAGAAAAUGAGUCAUUCCAUAUGUACUUUUCCUAUCUACCAGGUACCCUACAUAGUCAGAUCAGCAUACCCUAUCAGGUUAAAAUUAUUUCCUGAAGGAUAAAAUAGGACCAAGUCUUUUGUUCCUUUUAAGUAUUUAAGAAUUCUUUUAGUAUCCUUCAAAUGAGACUCUUUUGGGCAUGCCUGGAAUCUGGCACACACACCUAUACUAAACACUAUGUCAGGCCUGCUAGUAGUUAGGUGUAGUUGAGAUCCAAUGAUUCCUCUAUAUAUAGUCUCAUUUAAUAAGGAACCAGGUUCAUCAGUAUCAAUUUUUGAGCUAGUUCCAAUGGAUGUAUCAAUAGUCUUGACAUCACCCAUGUUGAAUUUCUUCAGCAACUCCUUGAUAUAUGUUGCUUGACAAAUCAUGGUGCCCUGGGGCGUUUGCUUGAUCUACAGCCCAAGGAAAAAGCUUAAUUCACCCAUCAUGCUCAUCUUAAACUCACUUUCUAUAAGUUCUAUAAAUUCUUGACAUAGAAUCUCUGAAGUGAAACCAAAUAUAAUGUCAUCAAAAUAAUUUUGCACAAUCAAUAGGCUUUUAUUCUAGACUUCAGAAAUAGGGUCAAUUUUUCCUCUCUUAAAACUAUUUUCACAAAAAAAAAUUACAACCUUUCAUAUCAAGCUCAGGGAGCCUAUUUUAAUCUAUAAAGAACUUUAUCUAAUUUCAGGACAUGAUAUGGUAGAUCAAUAUCUUCAAAACCAAGUGUCUUUUUCACAUAUACUUCUUUUUUCUGAUAAUCAUUUAGAAAGAAACUCUUUACAUUUAUUCGGAACAACUUGAAUCCUCUAUAAGCAGCAAAAGAAAUAAAAAUUCUAGUUGCUUUCAUUCUUGACACAGGAGCAAAGGUCUCAUCAUAAUCAAUUUUUUCUUCCUGAUUAUAUCCUUGUACAAUAAAUCUUGAUUCAUUCCUAGUGAUAAUGCUAUGCUCAUCUUGCUUGUUUUUGUACACCAAUUUUGUCCCAAUAAUGGUUCUGUCAGCAGGUCUGAUGACCAGGUACCGGAUUUUUCUUUAUUCAAAUUGAUGAAGUUCUUCUUGCAUGGCAUUUUGCCAGUCAACAUCUUUGAGAGAUUUCUUUACAUUUUUAGGCUCAAUUUGGGAUAUGAAAGUUGAAAAAGGCCAUAAAGUUUCUUGCUUGUGCCCUUGUUUACAUCCUUGUUUCCAAGGGAGAGGUCAGAUUCUCAAAAGGGUUGGGUUGCUAUUUCUUGAAAAAAAGGUUGGUUGCUAUUUUUCAACGAUCGCUUGCCUCUUUCUCUUCAAAUUAGGCCAAACAAAACACAUCAAAAGGGUAAGCAGUGUUGAUACAUUUUUUGGAUUAUGAGCACGCAACUGCACUUAGUACUCCCUCAUCCAUCUUGAAUCUCCAGUUUGUUGGGUUUCACUUUCCAAGAGAAGGACUUAGGUCGCAAACCAACUCAACUUGAGGUCUUCAAACAAACAUAUGUGAAGAAAAAUAUGAAUGAGUCGGACCCGGAUGUGUGGGUUGAGACCAGGGCUGAAAAUGUCAAUAAUGAAUACGUACGCUACUUGUCUGAGUUUGGUUCAACUGAGCCUACACAGGAGGAAUCUAUUAAAAUUUGGACUGAAAAAGUGGCGGGAGGAAAAAAAGGGGAGAACCUAUGUGUUUGGUUCUCAAAAUAAAUUACGACGUCUUUGUGCUGGAUGGGAUGGUAUUGGUUCCUCAAGCUAGGCUGAGGCGAUUGACGGUGCUCAGCUCACUGCUAUGUCACAACAGAUUAUAGAGAUUACACGUGCCUUGGCACAGUUCAUUGCUCAAAAUGAAGUCAUGAGCAAGACCGUCGAGGCACUCAAGAAACAAAUGGUUAGCAUGAGUUGUCGUUGUCGCCAUUCUCCAUCUACCGAUUAAAGUAGCAAAGAAGAAACAGAAAGUGAUGAGUUUGUUGAGACUACUCCUUAGUGUUAGUUGGAUUUAACUUCUAGAAAAUUUUUAGACAUUAAUUCUUGAAUUUAACUUUUAACUUUUGAGGAAGCUUAAAGACUUCAGUGUUUUGGAUGUUUUGGAAUUAAUUGUUAAGUGUUUUUGAAUGUUGGA